rnacentral:lncRNA from 1 species
GUUGACUGGUGUUUAUAGAAGAACAUAUGUUGCCUAUCAGUUUUUCGCAUGGUAUUUUAAACCUGAGUUUUGUAAGCAGCAUAGCCAAAAAGAUUAAUGCCAAAAUCGUAUACUUGUGUAUAAGCCAAGAUUUUCCUCCCAAAAAAAUUUCUGAAGUGGGGAUCAGCUUACACAUAGGGCAAAACAAAUCAACUUUUUUUUUGGCUGGAGAAAUUGAAAUGGUAAGCAGAACCAUAACUUAAUGAAUGUCUCUGGAAAUUUUACAAUAAUUCAUUUAAUGAAUACCAGGUAAAAUUUUAUCUUACCCUGAAGCAAUUGAGCACAUUGCAUGCUGACUCCAAUCUAUAUUCUAUAUACCAUAAUCAGAUAGAUGCUGCUGUGCUGCCUGAUAUGAUGCAACACAAAAUCCAACAAUCAAUCAAGAAUCUUAUCUAGAAUUCAUAUUUGGGUGAAAAAAAUAUAUUUAUUUUUCUUUA